UACGGAGGGUGCAAGCGUUGCUCGGAAUUAUUGGGCGUAAAGGGUAGGUAGGUGGUCUUAUUUGUCUGGGGUGAAAUCCCCGGGCUUAACCUGGGAAUGGCGAUGGAGACUGCAAGGCUAGAAUCUGGCAGAGGGGGGUAGAAUUCCACGUGUAGCAGUGAAAUGCGUAGAGAUGUGGAGGAACACCGAUGGCGAAGGCAGCCCCCUGGGCUAAGAUUGACGCUCAUGCACGAAAGCGUGGGGAGCAAACAGG
rnacentral:rRNA from 1 species